UACAGAGGUGGCAAGCGUUGUUCGGAAUUACUGGGCGUAAAGGGCGCGUAGGCGGCCUUCUAAGUCAGACGUGAAAUCCCCAGGCUUAACUUGGGAACUGCGUCUGAUACUGGGAGGCUUGAGUGCGGGAGAGGGAUGUGGAAUUCCUGGUGUAGCGGUGAAAUGCGCAGAUAUCAGGAGGAACACCGGUGGCGAAGGCGGAUCUCUGGGCCUGUCCUGACGCUGAGGCGCGAAAGCUAGGGGAGCGAACAGG
rnacentral:rRNA from 1 species